AAUUAGUCUGUUUCAACGUUGAGCGUUAAGCUAGUUUAAGUAGUUAAGCUAGUAAAGAGCAGAAUUAUUAUUGCUGUGGUUACCUGCGGUUUUACGGACGUUGCGCAGUGAAUUAAAACGCCGCUUAAACAGUUGACCCGGACCUAUGUUUGACCUUCUGCGGUUUUAACGGACACCUGCUGGUUAACGUUUUGGGAUGCUUACCUGGUCUGAUGGAGUAAGCUGGUACAAGAACGGCUACCAGCAGCAGGAGUAGGUAGAGCAGGUUGAAGAUCCUCAUGGCUGGGCAGCAGUUAACCUCUGAACAGUCCAGAAGGCCCAUCCCGGGAGGAUCCAGUAUCCAGAUGUACCUCUUCUCUCGGGAUAAUCAUGGAGGAGGAGUGUGUACCUGGACGUGCUUCUUCGGGUUGGAUGCAGACUGAAGCCAAGCUGAAGAGUGAGAAGAUGAUGAAGGCA